GCUCUCUUUGGUGACUUCCUGAAGCUUGAAGUAUCUUCCUUGGGAGACGUAUUAUAGAAUUUGAAAUCCCACUGGCCAGAUCUCAGCAUGUAGUUUCAUCCCAACUCUACAGAAGUCUGGAAAAUACAGAGAGAACAUGGAAGAAGAGAUGAGAGCUCCAUCUCUCUGCUGGUGGAAGGAGAGGUUGUCUUUCCCUUCCCAUAGGGCAAGAAGAGCUGCCUCCACAUCCUCCUUCUGCUGUAGCUGAAGAGCCUGUUUAAAGGAACAUCCUGAUGGGGCUCAGCCUUUUGACCCCCAGAAAACAUGGCUUUGUCUGCCAUCCUGCAGCUCAUCAUGGGAGCCUGCAAAGUGGUUGGGGGCAGCACACACCAGCAUGCUGUGAAGAGAGGAAAGAGCUGCCGGGAUAACAACCCCGCAGCCACCAUAAUGACUCAGAUUAGAACACAAGGGAACACCAGCCAUUUUUUAGUCUGUCAGUUUUUCUAUUAUCCUCAAGACUGAGCAUGAAACAUUCAUUAUAACACGUCCUUAUUGAUUCAACUGAUGGAAAUAUAUUGGUAUUAAUAACACGA
rnacentral:lncRNA from 1 species